AUACGUAGGGGGCCAGCGUUAUCCGGAUUUACUGGGCGUAAAGGGAGCGUAGGCGGGGGUGCAAGUCAGAUGUGAAAUACAAGGGCUCAACCCAUGGGCUGCAUUUGAAACUGCAUUUCUUGAGUGAGGAAGAGGUAAGAGGAAUUCCUGGUGGAGCGGUGAAAUGCGUAGAUAUCAGGAGGAACACCGGUGGCGAAGGCGGCUUACUGGGCUUUUACUGACGCUGAGGCUCGAAAGCGUGGGGAACAAACAGGAUUAGAUACCCUGGUAGUCCACGCUGUAAACGAUGAUUACUAGGUGUGGGGGGACUGACCCCUUCCGUGCCGCAGUUAACACAAUAAGUAUUCCACCUGGGGAGUACGGUCGCAUGAUUGAAACUCAAAUGAAUUGACGGGG
rnacentral:rRNA from 1 species